rnacentral:lncRNA from 1 species
GUCAUCGUAUGAUUGGCUGGUCCAAACCAAUCAUUGAGUUAAGACUUUGACUCAGAUUUUUUUUUAAAGAUACAACUAGGUUCUAUGAUACUAUUUCGUGAACUCAUUUAAUCUUGACCAGUGAUCUAUUAUAGGAUUAGAUCAGGACCGUGGAUCAAAUCAAAGACUUAUGAUUUGAUCUGGGCCAUUAGAUAGGUAAUUGGGAAUGCAUCUGGACCAUCAAUCUUUAAGAUCAAGUCAAAGACUCAUCUUUUAAUUCAGGCAUUUGAAUUAAAUAUUCGAAUUAAUUCGAACCGUUCGAGUUUUUUUUAUAAAUACCUAUUUCCUCCUCCCAUUUUCUUCACAAUAAUAUAUUCUCAAAAAUCUUCCUCCAUCUUCCUCUCCUCCUCACAAUCACCAUUCCGAUAUUCUUCGAAGUUACUAUUCACAUUCACUACUCACCCAAGUUACUAUUCAUCUAAAGCCACUAUUCAUGCCCAAAAUCGCUCGUCGUGCCUACUAUUCAUCGUUUUGUGUCAUGUUCACUUCGGCAAAAUAGUGAGAUGAAUAGUACCCCCUGGGUCAAAAUGACACGAAGCAAUGAAUAGUAAGCACGACGAAUGACUUCAGAUAUGAAUAAUUUUUUAUGAUGAAUAUUGACUAUGAAUAAUAACUCCGAAGAAUAUCGAAUAGUGACUUUAAUGGAGGAGGAAGAAGGGGAUGAAGGUUUUUG